AUUGAACGCUGGCGGCAGGCCUAACACAUGCAAGUCGAGCGAGCGGCGGACGGGUGAGUAAUGUAUGGGGAUCUGCCCGAUAUAGGGGGAUAACUACUGGAAACGGUGGCUAAUACCGCAUACUAUCGGAUGAACCUAUAGUGGAUUAGCUAGUCGGUGGGGUAAAGGCUCACCUAGGCGACGAUCUCUAGCUGGUCUGAGAGGAUGAUCAGCCACACUGGGACUGAGACACGGCCCAGACUCCGACGGGAGGCAGCAGUGGGGAAUAUUGCGCAAGGGGCGAAAGCCUGAUGCAGCAAUGCCGCGUGUAUGAAGAAGGCCUUCGGUUUGUAAAGCUCUUUCAUCGGGGAGGCGUUACCCGAAGAGGAAGCCACGGCUAACUCCGUGCCAGCAGCCGCGGUAAUAC
rnacentral:rRNA from 1 species